rnacentral:rRNA from 1 species
GAAAAGGAGCAAUCCGCUUUGAGAUGGCCUCGCGUCCGAUUAGCUAGUUGGUGAGGUAACGGCCCACCAAGGCGACGAUCGGUAGCCGGACUGAGAGGUUGAACGGCCACAUUGGGACUGAGACACGGCCCAGACUCCUACGGGAGGCAGCAGUGGGGAAUAUUGCACAAUGGGGGAAACCCUGAUGCAGCAACGCCGCGUGAAGGAAGACGGUUUUCGGAUUGUAAACUUCUGUUCUUAGUGAAGAUAGUGACGGUAGCUAAGGAGCAAGCCACGGCUAACUAC